rnacentral:lncRNA from 1 species
GAUUGGAUUCAGGGGCUGGAUUUGGGAUUGGAUUCAGGACUGAAUCUGGGACAGGAUUUGGGAUUGGAUCUGGGACUGACUUUGGGAUUUGGUUCAAAAUUGGGUCUGGAAAUGGAUUUGGAUUUGCAUUCGAUUUGGGAUUGGAUUCAGGAUUGGGUUUGAGAUUGGGUUCAGAAAGAAAUCCAGGAAUGGGUUUGGGAUCGGAGUUGGGAUUGGAUUUAGGAUCAGAUUUGCAUUUGAUUUGGGAUUGGAUUUGGGACUGGAUUCAGGAUUGAAUCUGGGAAUGGAUUUUAGAUGCAAUCUGGGAUUGGAUUUGGGAUUGGAUACACGACUGGGUUUGGGAAUGGAUUCAGAACUGGAUUUGGGAUUGGAUUUGGGAUUGGAUUCCGGGUUGGGUUCAAGAUUGGAUUCAGAGCUGGGUUUGUGAUUGGGUUCGGAAAUGGAUUCGGGACUGGGUUUGGGAUUGGAUCUGGGAUUUGAUUUCAAAUUGGAUUUGGGAUUGGAUUCAGGGAUUGGAUUCAGGGUUGGAUAUGGGAUUGAGUUUGGGACUGGAUUUGGGUUUGGGAAUGGAUUCAGAACUGGAUUUGGGAUUGGAUUUAGGACUGGAUUUGGGACUGGAUUGGGUUUGGCUCUGUCUCCAUCCAGGACAUCCCAAGGGAAUUCAGCAGCUGGAGCCAUCCCAGCGCACCGGGAACCGGAUCCAAGACAAAAAAAAAAAACCGGGAAGGGAAAAACUCCGGAGCUACUUGAGGGAAAUAUUUUUUCAUGGAAGGAAGGAUUUAUAGGGCUGGGACUGCUCUGCAGCAGAGCAACAUCUGGAACAGAUCCGUUAUCCCGUCCGAACACCGGCGAGGGGAGCCAGGGAUAAAUCCCGGCUGUCGGAACGGGGAUCCCACACACGAAGGGAAUCCGGGAUUCGGGAUUGCCCUCCCAAAUUUCCCCCAUCGGGAUUUCUCCCUUUCCCCUGGGAUUUGGGGGGGGCGGUGGGAGAACCCCAAGGAUUCCAGGGAAGCCUCUGGAAUGCUGGAAAUUUGGGAAUGGCGAUGGAAAACGGAUCCCAAAUAUGGGGAUGGCCCUGGAAAACAUUCCCUGGCAUCUGGAGCAUCCUUGGAUUCAUGGCUGGAUGGGAUGGGACCAUCCCAGAGG